GGUUAAGCGACUAAGCGUACACGGUGGAUGCCCUGGCAGUCAGAGGCGAUGAAGGACGUGCUAAUCUGCGAUAAGCGUCGGUAAGGUGAUAUGAACCGUUAUAACCGGCGAUUUCCGAAUGGGGAAACCCAGUGUGAUUCGUCACACUAUCAUUAACUGAAUCCAUAGGUUAAUGAGGCGAACCGGGGGAACUGAAACAUCUAAGUACCCCGAGGAAAAGAAAUCAACCGAGAUUCCCCCAGUAGCGGCGAGCGAACGGGGAGCAGCCCAGAGCCUGAAUCAGUGUGUGUGUUAGUGGAAGCGUCUGGAAAGGCGUGCGAUACAGGGUGACAGCCCCGUACACAAAAAUGCACAUGCUGUGAGCUCGAUGAGUAGGGCGGGACACGUGGUAUCCUGUCUGAAUAUGGGGGGACCAUCCUCCAAGGCUAAAUACUCCUGACUGACCGAUAGUGAACCAGUACCGUGAGGGAAAGGCGAAAAGAACCCCGGCGAGGGGAGUGAAAAAGAACCUGAAACCGUGUACGUACAAGCAGUGGGAGCACGCUUAGGCGUGUGACUGCGUACCUUUUGUAUAAUGGGUCAGCGACUUAUAUUCUGUAGCAAGGUUAACCGAAUAGGGGAGCCGAAGGGAAACCGAGUCUUAACUGGGCGUUAAGUUGCAGGGUAUAGACCCGAAACCCGGUGAUCUAGCCAUGGGCAGGUUGAAGGUUGGGUAACACUAACUGGAGGACCGAACCGACUAAUGUUGAAAAAUUAGCGGAUGACUUGUGGCUGGGGGUGAAAGGCCAAUCAAACCGGGAGAUAGCUGGUUCUCCCCGAAAGCUAUUUAGGUAGCGCCUCGUGAAUUCAUCUCCGGGGGUAGAGCACUGUUUCGGCAAGGGGGUCAUCCCGACUUACCAACCCGAUGCAAACUGCGAAUACCGGAGAAUGUUAUCACGGGAGACACACGGCGGGUGCUAACGUCCGUCGUGAAGAGGGAAACAACCCAGACCGCCAGCUAAGGUCCCAAAGUCAUGGUUAAGUGGGAAACGAUGUGGGAAGGCCCAGACAGCCAGGAUGUUGGCUUAGAAGCAGCCAUCAUUUAAAGAAAGCGUAAUAGCUCACUGGUCGAGUCGGCCUGCGCGGAAGAUGUAACGGGGCUAAACCAUGCACCGAAGCUGCGGCAGCGACGCUUAUGCGUUGUUGGGUAGGGGAGCGUUCUGUAAGCCUGUGAAGGUGUACUGUGAGGUAUGCUGGAGGUAUCAGAAGUGCGAAUGCUGACAUAAGUAACGAUAAAGCGGGUGAAAAGCCCGCUCGCCGGAAGACCAAGGGUUCCUGUCCAACGUUAAUCGGGGCAGGGUGAGUCGACCCCUAAGGCGAGGCCGAAAGGCGUAGUCGAUGGGAAACAGGUUAAUAUUCCUGUACUUGGUGUUACUGCGAAGGGGGGACGGAGAAGGCUAUGUUGGCCGGGCGACGGUUGUCCCGGUUUAAGCGUGUAGGCUGGUUUUCCAGGCAAAUCCGGAAAAUCAAGGCUGAGGCGUGAUGACGAGGCACUACGGUGCUGAAGCAACAAAUGCCCUGCUUCCAGGAAAAGCCUCUAAGCAUCAGGUAACAUCAAAUCGUACCCCAAACCGACACAGGUGGUCAGGUAGAGAAUACCAAGGCGCUUGAGAGAACUCGGGUGAAGGAACUAGGCAAAAUGGUGCCGUAACUUCGGGAGAAGGCACGCUGAUAUGUAGGUGAAGCGACUUGCUCGUGGAGCUGAAAUCAGUCGAAGAUACCAGCUGGCUGCAACUGUUUAUUAAAAACACAGCACUGUGCAAACACGAAAGUGGACGUAUACGGUGUGACGCCUGCCCGGUGCCGGAAGGUUAAUUGAUGGGGUCAGCGCAAGCGAAGCUCUUGAUCGAAGCCCCGGUAAACGGCGGCCGUAACUAUAACGGUCCUAAGGUAGCGAAAUUCCUUGUCGGGUAAGUUCCGACCUGCACGAAUGGCGUAAUGAUGGCCAGGCUGUCUCCACCCGAGACUCAGUGAAAUUGAACUCGCUGUGAAGAUGCAGUGUACCCGCGGCAAGACGGAAAGACCCCGUGAACCUUUACUAUAGCUUGACACUGAACAUUGAGCCUUGAUGUGUAGGAUAGGUGGGAGGCUUGGAAGUGUGGACGCCAGUCUGCAUGGAGCCGACCUUGAAAUACCACCCUUUAAUGUUUGAUGUUCUAACGUUGACCCGUAAUCCGGGUUGCGGACAGUGUCUGGUGGGUAGUUUGACUGGGGCGGUCUCCUCCUAAAGAGUAACGGAGGAGCACGAAGGUUGGCUAAUCCUGGUCGGACAUCAGGAGGUUAGUGCAAUGGCAUAAGCCAGCUUGACUGCGAGCGUGACGGCGCGAGCAGGUGCGAAAGCAGGUCAUAGUGAUCCGGUGGUUCUGAAUGGAAGGGCCAUCGCUCAACGGAUAAAAGGUACUCCGGGGAUAACAGGCUGAUACCGCCCAAGAGUUCAUAUCGACGGCGGUGUUUGGCACCUCGAUGUCGGCUCAUCACAUCCUGGGGCUGAAGUAGGUCCCAAGGGUAUGGCUGUUCGCCAUUUAAAGUGGUACGCGAGCUGGGUUUAGAACGUCGUGAGACAGUUCGGUCCCUAUCUGCCGUGGGCGCUGGAGAACUGAGGGGGGCUGCUCCUAGUACGAGAGGACCGGAGUGGACGCAUCACUGGUGUUCGGGUUGUCAUGCCAAUGGCACUGCCCGGUAGCUAAAUGCGGAAGAGAUAAGUGCUGAAAGCAUCUAAGCACGAAACUUGCCCCGAGAUGAGUUCUCCCUGAGACUUUAAGUCUCCUGAAGGAACGUUGAAGACGACGACGUUGAUAGGCCGGGUGUGUAAGCGCAGCGAUGCGUUGAGCUAACCGGUACUAAUGAACCGUGAGGCUUAACCUU
rnacentral:rRNA from 1 species